CCUCUGUCUUUACCCACUUUAUCCCUCCCUCCUCCGAAGGGGUCAAUAGAAUAGUUACGUCCAACCUCGCCACCACCUACCCCUUGACCCUACCCCUUCCUCACUGCUCCAGGCCGUCUCGAGAGACAUCCUAGCAAUUCCCUCCUCCCUUAUCAACUCCUCCCUCACUUCAGGCAUUGUUCCAGCGUCUUUCCAUUCUGCCACAAUAAAGCCUCUCAAGAAGCCGACCCUUGACACCACCGACAACCAGAAGUUCAGCAGCGUUCGACACCGUGAACCACCAGAUCCUUCUCACCACUUUCGCCGAACUUUGCAUUGCUGAAUUUGCACUAUGCUGGUUCACAUCCGAAUCGCACCUAUCAGGUAACAUGGAAUGGCUCCUUGUCCAAACCCUGCACGCUUUAACACGGCUUCUCAUCUCCCUCUAUAUCACAUCUCUGGGCUCUGUAAUUACAUCAUACGACUUUUCCUAUCACUGCUACAUUGACAACACUCAGCUAUUCCACUCUUUCCCCUGCUCUGAUGAAACCCUGAUUGCAAAAUGCAUAUCAGAAUUUCUAGCAGACGUCAACACUCUGACAACUGCCCAUCAAAUGAGGCUUAACCUCAACAAGACUGAGCUCCUCCUAAUGCCAGGGAAAGAUUGCCCACAUAUGGACAUACUGGUCACUGUCGAGAACAUCACUGUAUCUCCUUGUCCACCUGCUAGAAACCUCGGUGAGGUACUGGACAAUCAGUUAUACUGCACCGCAAACAUCACCACGGUUGCCUGAUCCUGCAUAUUUGCACUUAACAACAUCUGCAGGACCUGGCCCUUCCUCACAAGUUCCAGCGUAUCCACACACGUAUGGUCAGACCACACACGCCUGCGCGAGCGCUCCGAUGAACCUCAGCUGGACGUCUGGUACCGCCAUCGCUAAUCGCUAAUCGCCAUCGCUAAUAGCAGACAAAGGUCGAUCAGCGAAGACACAACUCUUCUCUGUUUUGGCACCGCAGUGGUGGAACGAGCUCCCUGCCAACGUCAUCACCGCAGAGUCGCUCACCAGCUUCCGCAAAAGACUCAAAACUCACCUGUUCAGAGUUCACCUAGACUCUGCAUAGUCAUCCAGUCCCCCCCUCCCACUAUUGUAUGUUGUACGUCCUCGCACUUAAUGUAUGCACUUAAUGUACGUUGUAUUAUUCAUAGUACUACCGGUAAAUGUGUAGCAUCGGCAGUAGCUAGCUAUCACUGCUGUAUAUGUGAAAUGGGUCAGCCUAGCGAUUGUUAGUACUAGGUUCUAUGAACAUCCUUACUAUACCGACAGAGAUAUAUUGUUGUUUCACUUCUUAUGACAAAUUGUAAGGCUCUUUCGAUAAAAGCGUCUGCUAAAUGUAAAUGUUAAUUUAAUGCUCCAAAGGGUCGCCGAGGAUGAGGAGAUCCGCCCUGACCCAAAUUUAUAGAACUCAAGAAACAAAGAAAAGGGAAUCCUAGCAGAAAGACUUUGGCCUCUACAGAUCAGGGCCCGGUUUCCCGAUUCCCGGUUUCCGCGCUACAAAAACUCCUACAUUUAGACUUAUCAAAGCUGUUUACCUCGAUGGGCGUGGUUCCUGAAUGGUCUCUUAGGAGUUUUCUUAAGAAACACUCCUUACGUUGUUCGUAAACGGCGCUGUCCAGAAAGAAUGUGCUGAAAUCAAUUGCUCAGACAUCAAUUUUCCAUUUCAUGCGCAGGUACAUGACAGUGUCCUAAAAGAUAUGUCAGUCUUUGCAAAUACAACAUAAUUGCUCAAAAUCCUUCUUGUAGGCCAUGGGCAAACAUAGCAUAGCCUACACUGAUUUAAAAAAUAUAUAGAAAAAUUUACAAUUUGAAAUGAAAGCUAAAUUUUUAAUCGUUUAUUUAGCUUAUUAUAUAAUACUGUUGUAUGCUGAGACUGCUUUGCUUUUUGUUACCUGUAGUGGUCUGUGUGGGGUUUUGCUAAAUGUAAAGGGAAAGAGGCGGUGGUUGAAAAAAGUAUUUUGACCCCUUAUUACAUUCACUUGUUCCUUAUAAUGGUUUAUUUAUUACCCAGUAUAAUUUCCUUAAUUUAGAAGACAGUUUGGUUCAUUUUUGAUUUAUAAAAUGAAUACAAUAUUUUUUUGAAGUUGCGUGUUUUUGAAAUUAUUGGAAGCAAGUGGAGCUGACUGCGCCUUGCUGUACUCACGGCGAAACAAAGAACAACGAGACAACAUCCUUAUUAAAAUAAGUUGUUUAAUUUGGCCCCAAUUGGCUACGGAUGCGAACUGUUUCCCGGAACCUUCUUAAAGCCUUCUUAACGCUACAUCAUUCGUAACCUCUUCUUUAAGUUCUUCACUUGUUUCCCGAAACGUUCUUUGCUACGAAUCUCUUUCGUACGUCGUUUGUUGAUAAGGUUGGUCUGAAGCGCUCACAGAACCUGGUCAGCUGUACCGUAGUGAUGGUUCAGCUCCAGACGCUAGCCUGGUUAGGUGGGUCUGAAGCGCUCACAGAACCUGGUCAGCUGUACCGUAGUGAUGGUUCAGCUCCAGACGCUAGCCUGGUUAGGUGGGUCUGAAGCGCUCACAGAACCUGGUCAGCUGUACCGUAGUGAUGGUUCAGCUCCAGACGCUAGCCUGGUUGGGUGGGUCUGAAGCGCUCACAGAACCUGGUCAGCUCUACCAUAGUGAUGGUUCAGCUCCAGACGCUAGCCUGGUUAGGUUGGUCUGAAACGCUCACAGAACCUGGUCAGCUGUACCGUAGUGAUGGUUCAGCUCCAGACGCUAGCCUGGUUAGGUGGGUCUGAAGCGCUCACAGAACCUGGUCAGCUCUACCAUAGUGAUGGUUCAGCUCCAGACGCUAGCCUGGUUAGGUGGGUCUGAAGCGCUCACAGAACCUGGUCAGCUGUACCGUAGUGAUGGUUCAGCUCCAGACGCUAGUCUGGUUAGGUGGGUCUGAAGCGCUCACAGAACCAGGUCAGCUCUACCAUAGUGAUGGUUCAGCUCCAGACGCUAGUUGCCGCAGCUGUACCUUUAGAGUCCCCGUAGCGCACGGAGCUGACACAUUGACGUGUUGUGUUUCACCAAUGGUUUUACGUCAUUCAUGAAGAGAAUAAUUGCUGGAAACAAAAUAUUAUGUGCAUGCAUUUCAAGGCUAAGCUUUAGCGGCCUAUUCAACAUCAAAAGUAGCCCAGGUGUAUUAUCAUGUCAUUUAAUUAGCCCAUUUAGGCCUAGUCAAUGUCAAGGCAUGCACAAUUCUGCAAGCAAUUUGUGAAAUUUGAAAAUUGACGAACAAUUAGGCUCUGAGUGGCUACGAUUUCAUGAAUGGACGCCGGUGACGGUUGUGAAUGGUGGCAGCGUAACAACGCAUCCUUGUGCUGAAUCAACGACGUCGCCGUCCUCGGAGUCGUUUAGUUCAAGUAAAUCAUUUGAUAAGGCUAAAAUUUUGGCAUAUUGAUAUCGUAACAGACACGGCUAUAUUGUAAAAGUUUUGCCUAUAAUAGCAACAAAUACGGCAAUUGAUUAAUUUGAUUGGGCCUACGCUUGCAAGACCAACGUGUCAGAACUUGUCACUGACUCCUGGCAGCGCUGCGUUCUUCCGCAGUAGGGAGCAUGAUAUAAGAUAUGGCCUUGGGCUAAGUAAGGCUUCUGUGUGGAGAUGUGUCCAUGUGGUCACAAACGCCCUUUUCCGCCACACCAGGGAUUUCAGGUGGUGGUCGACCACAGAGGGCUCAUCCUCGACCUGGUGGCGAGGUGGCCUGGCAGCACCCGUGAUAGGGUUAGGGUUAGCUUUGUCUGGGCCCGUUCCGCGGGGGGCGAGGAGGUGGACAGGUGGGUUUGGCCAGAGUGUAGUCCUUUGGGACAGUGGCUCCCCCCUCCGAACCUACUUUAUGACCCCUGUUACCAUUCCGCGAAACAUUCUAAUGCCCCGCAUAUACAAACCCGCCUAAUUGUUGAGCGGACAAUUGGUAGACCUGGUAGACCCGCCCAUUCUGCCGGCGAUUUGAGUUUGCCCUGCAGAAGGGUCUUGAGAAGAGCAAUACAUUUCUUUCCAGUUUCUAUACGUUUUUGCGGGAGACAAUCACCAAGUUGGCUUUUCCCCCUGGCGUGCUAUUGGCGAGUUUAACACAAUGUCGACAGGGAAGCGACGGCAAGCAGCCAACUGCAUACAGUCAUUUGAACUUGAUCUUGAGACCAAGCUCAAGAUUGAGCUUGGUCUGGGGAAGCUGCUGUCAUUUUCUUCAGCACAAGAGGCGUGAUCAAUGGGCCUAGUUCGCAGUUGGCUGUUUGCCGUCGCUUAGUCGCUUGUCUAGCCAGGCUAGACACCUGGUCUAUGGAAGCUGCGCUUUCGGUGCCUUAACAGGUCCACAGGGACAGUGCAUGAAGCGCAGUAAUGGUGGUGACCGCCAUGCUCCACAACAUGGCAGUUCGAGGAGGACGAUGAGGAAGGGGAAGAGGAAAUUGGUGUCCCCAGGCCUCCCCGGCCGCACUAGGCGCUGCCGGGGUUGCUGCAAGCCAUUUAAGGAUUGCAAAUGUUUUUGUUUUAGGCUACUCUCAUAGUAGAUGUUAACCAUUGGCACACUAGACUGAAAUACAUCAGUAAUUUAUUGAGUUUGCUGGUCACUCAGCUCUGAUUGCAAAGCAGUUAGACACUAUUAAAAAACAUACGGUAUGCUACAACAUUUUGUCCAAGUAGCCUAGGUGUUUGAACAGUUAAUGGAAGGAAGUGAUGGGUGGCGUAGCAGGAUAGACAUGCAGGAUGGCAGGAUAGGCCAAGUUGCUUAAUUGUUCAUUCCAAGUUUGCAUCCGUAGCCAAUCGAGGCCAAAUGAAGCAGCAUGUUUGAAUUCAGGAUGUUGUCAUGGCUGCUCUUUGAUUGGGCCCUGGGUACAGUACGGAGAGGUCAGCUGCUCCUUGAUUGGGCGGUGGGUACAGUAAGGAGAGGUCAGCUGCUCUUUGAUUGGGCGGUGGGUACAGUACGGAGAGGUCAGCUGCUCUUUGAUUGGGCGGUGGGUACAGUAAGGAGAGGUCAGCUGCUCUUUGGGUUAGCUCAAGCAGGGGGCCCCAGACUUCCCUUUCCCGGGCCACAUUGACCAGCUCUGACGGGGGGAUCCUGAGGCAUUCCCAGGCCAGUGUUGAGAUAUAAUCUCUCCACCUAGUCCUGGGUCUUCCCCGAGGUCUCCUCCCCACUGGACGUGCCUGAAACACCUCCCAAGGGAGGCGCCCAGUGGGCAUCCUUACCAGAUGCCCGAACCACCUCAGCUGACUCCUUUCUAAGUAAAGGAGCAGCGGCUCUAAUCCGAGUUCCUCACGGAUGGCUGAGCUUCUCACCCUAUCCCUAAGGGAGACGCCCUUCUGAGAAAACUCAUCUUGGCCGCUUGUACCCGCAAUCUCGUCACAUCUCAUCACCCAACCCUCAUGACCAUAGCUGAGGAUAGGAACGAAGAUCGACCGGUAGAUCGAGAGCUUUGCCUUGCGGCUCAGCUCUCUUUUCAUAACAACGGUGAGGUAAAGCGAACGCAAUACCGCCCCCGCUGCUCCGAUUCUCCUGCCAAUCUCACGCUCCUUCGUACCCUCACUCGCGAACAAGACCCCGAGUUACUUGAACUCCUUCACUUGGGCUAAGGACUCAUUUCCUACCCGGAGUAAGCAAUCCACCGGUCAUGGCCUCAGAUCCUCAUCCCAGCCGCUUCACACUCGGCCGCCAGCCGAUCCAGUGAGUGCUGAAGGUCACAGGCCGAUGAUCCAAUGAGGACCGAAUCACCUGCAAAAAGCAGUGACGAGAUCCUCAGACCACCGAACUGCAACCCCUCCCCACCACGACUACGCCUCGAUAUCCUGUCCAUGUAUAUCACAAACAGGAUUGGUGACAAGGCGCAGCCCUGGCGGAGACCAACACCCACUGAGAACGAAACUGACUGGCUGCCGAGGACGCGAACACAGCUCUCGCUUUGGGAGUACAAAGAUUGGAUGGCCCUGAGGAUAGACCCCCUUACCCCAUACUCCCGCAGCACCUCCCACAGUUUCUCCUGGGGGAUCCGGUCAUACGCCUUCUCCACAUCCACAAAACACAUGUAGACCGGAUGGGCAUACUCCCAGGAGUGAAGAGCUGGUCCGUAGUUCCACGUCCGGGGUGAAAACCGCAUUGUUCCUCUUCAAUCUGAGGUUCUCCGUACAUAAUAAAUAUAUAUAAAUAUGUAUGUAUAUACAUACAUAU
ensembl:lncRNA